UUUGGAGCCAGCCGCCGAAGGUGGGACAGAUGAUUGGGGUGAAGUCGUAACAAGGUAGCCGUAGGUGAACCUGCGGCUGGAUCACCUCCUUU
rnacentral:rRNA from 2 species